AACCAGAAAGCAGAGAAUGCAAUGACAAAGCACUUGAGGUUCUGUAAACUAAAUACGAUAAUGUUAUGGGUUUCCCCGAUGAUGUCUUGUAAAAAUGGUCGUUCUGUGGCUGAUGAUUUAAAAUAACAACCUGGACUAUUGAGUGCCACCAUUCAGUAGAGUACAAACCUGAUGUUGGCGAAAACAAGAAAGAAUUCUAUUUCUUUUCGAUCUGAACGGCACCAACCGGAUUGUUCAAUGAUGACAACUUUUUGCAAGCUUUGGAACUACCUCCCCUGAAAGCACCACCAGCUGUUGAAGUCUUUUUCUGCUGUUAGCCCUUCCUUUUAAUGCUUCUUCGUUUAUCUCUAAACGAAUUGGGAGACCCCGAGAAACUUUAAUUACUAGUCCUUCUCCAGCUGAAACAACAUUGGUAUUGAAGUGAUCCAAUGGGUCAUAGGCAAAAUAUUCAUGCAUAUAAUGGGCAUAUUCAGCAUACAGUGAUAGAUGUAGGGAAGCCGAUGAAUUAUAGCGGUGGCCUAGAAUUUAAUGAUCUUACUUACACUGUGAAAAAGAAGCUUAAAGAUGAUAACGGAAAGUGGCUAAACC
rnacentral:lncRNA from 1 species